rnacentral:rRNA from 1 species
GACAGAGGGUGCAAGCGUUGUUCGGAAUCAUUGGGCGUAAAGCGCACGUAGGCGGCGAUGUGUGUCGGAUGUGAAAUCCCUGGGCUCAACCCAGGAAGUGCAUCCGAAACUGCAUUGCUGGAGUCUCGGAGAGGGUGGUGGAAUUCCUGGUGUAGAGGUGAAAUUCGUAGAUAUCAGGAGGAACACCGGUGGCGAAGGCGACCACCUGGACGAAGACUGACGCUGAGGUGCGAAAGCGUGGGUAGCAAACAGG